rnacentral:rRNA from 1 species
UGAUUUAUAUUACUUGUGAUAUAAAUUUUGAAACUUUAGUGAGUAGGAAGGUACAAUGGUAUGCGUAGAAGUGUUUGGCGUAAGCCUGCAUGGAGCUGCCAUUGGUACAGAUCUUGGUGGUAGUAGCAAAUAAUCGAAUGAGACCUUGGAGGACUGAAGUGGAGAAGGGUUUCGUGUGAACAGUGGUUGAUCACGAGUUAGUCGGUCCUAAGUUCAAGGCGAAAGCCGAAAAUUUUCAAGUAAAACAAAAAUGCCUAACUAUAUAAACAAAGCGAAUUAUAAUACACUUGAAUAAUUUUGAACGAAAGGGAAUACGGUUCCAAUUCCGUAACCUGUUGAGUAUCCGUUUGUUAUUAAAUAUGGGCCUCGUGCUCAUCCUGGCAACAGGAACGACCAUAAAGAAGCCGUCGAGAGAUAUCGGAAGAGUUUUCUUUUCUGUUUUAUAGCCGUACUACCAUGGAAGUCUUUCGCAGAGAGAUAUGGUAGAUGGGCUAGAAGAGCAUGACAUAUACUGUUGUGUCGAUAUUUUCUCCUCGGACCUUGAAAAUUUAUGGUGGGGACACGCAAACUUCUCAACAGGCCGUACCAAUAUCCGCAGCUGGUCUCCAAGGUGAAGAGUCUCUAGUCGAUAGAAUAAUGUAGGUAAGGGAAGUCGGCAAAUUAGAUCCGUAACUUCGGGAUAAGGAUUGGCUCUGAAGAUUGAGAUAGUCGGGCUUGAUUGGGAAACAAUAACAUGGUUUAUGUGCUCGUUCUGGGUAAAUAGAGUUUCUAGCAUUUAUGUUAGUUACUUGUUCCCCGGAUAGUUUAGUUACGUAGCCAAUUGUGGAACUUUCUUGCUAAAAUUUUUAAGAAUACUAUUUGGGUUAAACCAAUUAGUUCUUAUUAAUUAUAACGAUUAUCAAUUAACAAUCAAUUCAGAACUGGCACGGACUUGGGGAAUCCGACUGUCUAAUUAAAACAAAGCAUUGUGAUGGCCCUAGCGGGUGUUGACACAAUGUGAUUUCUGCCCAGUGCUCUGAAUGUCAAAGUGAAGAAAUUCAAGUAAGCGCGGGUCAACGGCGGGAGUAACUAUGACUCUCUUAAGGUAGCCAAAUGCCUCGUCAUCUAAUUAGUGACGCGCAUGAAUGGAUUAACGAGAUUCCUACUGUCCCUAUCUACUAUCUAGCGAAACCACAGCCAAGGGAACGGGCUUGGAAUAAUUAGCGGGGAAAGAAGACCCUUUUGAGCUUGACUCUAAUCUGGCAGUGUAAGGAGACAUAAGAGGUGUAGAAUAAGUGGGAGAUAUUAGACCUCGGUUUGGUAUCGUCAAUGAAAUACCACUAUUCUUAUUGUUUCCUUACUUACUUGAUUAAAUGGAACGUGUAUCAUUUCCUAGCCAUUAUACGGAUAUAUUUAUUAUAUCUUAUGGUAUUGGGUUUUGAUGCAAGCUUCUUGAUCAAAGUAUCACGAGUUUGUUAUAUAAUCGCAAACAAAUUCUUUAAUAAAACGAUGCAUUUAUGUAUUUUUGAUUUGAAAAUUUGGUAUAACUCCAAUUACUCAGGUAUGAUCCAAUUCAAGGACAUUGCCAGGUAGGGAGUUUGACUGGGGCGGUACAUCUCUCAAAUAAUAACGGAGGUGUCCCAAGGCCAGCUCAGUGCGGACAGAAACCACACAUAGAGCAAAAGGGCAAAUGCUGACUUGAUCUCGGUGUUCAGUACACACAGGGACAGCAAAAGCUCGGCCUAUCGAUCCUUUUGGUUUAAAGAGUUUUUAACAAGAGGUGUCAGAAAAGUUACCAUAGGGAUAACUGGCUUGUGGCGGCCAAGCGUUCAUAGCGACGUCGCUUUUUGAUCCUUCGAUGUCGGCUCUUCCUAUCAUUGUGAAGCAAAAUUCACCAAGCGUUGGAUUGUUCACCCAUGCAAGGGAACGUGAGCUGGGUUUAGACCGUCGUGAGACAGGUUAGUUUUACCCUACUAAUGACAAAACGUUGUUGCGACAGCAUUCCUGCGUAGUACGAGAGGAACCGCAGGUACGGACCAAUGGCACAAUACUUGUUCGAGCGAACAGUGGUAUGACGCUACGUCCGUUGGAUUAUGCCUGAACGCCUCUAAGGUCGUAUCCGUGCUGGACUGCAAUGAUAAAUAAGGGGCAAUUUGCAUUGU